CAGUAGCCGCGGUAAUACAGAGGGUGCGAGCGUUAAUCGGAUUUACUGGGCGUAAAGCGUGCGUAGGCGGCUUUUUAAGUCGGAUGUGAAAUCCCUGAGCUUAACUUAGGAAUUGCAUUCGAUACUGGGAAGCUAGAGUAUGGGAGAGGAUGGUAGAAUUCCAGGUGUAGCGGUGAAAUGCGUAGAGAUCUGGAGGAAUACCGAUGGCGAAGGCAGCCAUCUGGCCUAAUACUGACGCUGAGGUACGAAAGCAUGGGGAGCAAACAGGAUUAGAUACCCGAGUAGUCCCUGUCUCUUAACA
rnacentral:rRNA from 1 species